ensembl:snoRNA U3 Small nucleolar RNA U3
AAGACUAUACUUUCAGGGAUCAUUUCUAUGUAUGUUACUAGAGAAUUGUAGCUGAACAUGUCCUGUCAGAUCUAUGAAGAAAGGAAGAAUGUAUGACCAAAGAAGAGA